rnacentral:sRNA from 2 species
ACUCAACAGGAAUUCUUUAAGAAGGGUGAGUUAAAGUUGCAAAAGCGCGCCGUUACUGAUUUAUUUCAGAAGACGGAUUCUUGAACAGCUUGUUAACCCUAAACUUUAUUUUUAAGGAGUUU